rnacentral:rRNA from 1 species
AGUGAACGCUGGCGGUAGGCCUAACACAUGCCAGUCGAACGGCAGCACAGUAAGAGCUUGCUCUUACGGGUGGCGAGUGGCGGACGGGUGAGGAGUACAUCGGAAUCUACUUUUUCGUGGGGGAUAACGUAGGGAAGCUUACGCUAAUACCGCAUACGACCUACGGGUGAAAGCAGGGGAUCUUCGGACCUUGCGCGAUUGAAUGAGCCGAUGUCGGAUUAGCUAGUUGGCGGGGUAAAGGCCCACCAAGGCGACGAUCCGUAGCUGGUCUGAGAGGAUGAUCAGCCACACUGGAACUGAGACACGGUCCAGACUCCUACGGGAGGCAGCAGUGGGGAAUAUUGGACAAUGGGCGCAAGCCUGAUCCAGCCAUACCGCGUGGGUGAAGAAGGCCUUCGGGUUGUAAAGCCCUUUUGUUGGGAAAGAAAAGCAGCAGGUUAAUACCCCGCUGUUCUGACGGUACCCAAAGAAUAAGCACCGGCUAACUUCGUG